rnacentral:sRNA from 1 species
UAUCCCUCAAACUAAGGGGGGAUGAGAACCACCGACCGGGGUUCGACAACUGGCGCAGCCAGUUGGACAGACGACGAGCUUGCGAGGAGACUGCCCGAAGGGCGAGCGCAGCGAGUCAAUCCCCCCCUCACCGCCA